UACGGAGGGUGCAAGCGUUGUCCGGAAUCAUUGGGCGUAAAGAGUUCGUAGGCGGUAUGUUAAGUCUGGUGUUAAAGGCUGAGGCUCAACCUUGGUAGGGCACUGGAUACUGGCAAACUAGAAUGCGGUAGAGGUAAAGGGAAUUCCUGGUGUAGCGGUGAAAUGCGUAGAUAUCAGGAGGAACAUCGGAGGCGAAAGCGCUUUACUGGGCCGAAAUUGACGCUGAGGAACGAAAGCCAGGGUAGCAAAU
rnacentral:rRNA from 1 species